GCGCUCGUAGCUCAAUUGGAUAGAGCAAUGGAUUUCUAAUCCAUAGGUUACAGGUUCGAGUCCUGUCGGGCGUA
rnacentral:tRNA from 1 species